rnacentral:lncRNA from 1 species
CCAUUCGGUCCUCCUUUUGUUAACGCUCUGGUAUCAUGUCUACGCCAGCUCCCGUGCAAUCCGGCGCCAUCGCGCUUUGGGCGAGCAUGGCCAUGGGGAGUAGAGAGGUGGAAACCGAGCUGACGUCUGCCUGGCCCUGGCGAUGGUGGCGAGCGCCGGGGAAGGACUGAUUGGAGAAUGGCGCCAAAUGGGUCACGGAUGGCGAGGGGGCACAGGAGCUCUCGAUGUGACCUGGCGCUGUGGAUGUGAUGCACAGCAGCUUGAGUGGGACUGCUCCGCUAUCCUCAUGAGAGAACGCUUUUUCUGAAGAUGGGAGGUGGCUAAUGAAAGAAGGUGAGGUCUCUCGGGCCCUUGCUGUCCUCCAGUGCGAUGGGAACUGCACGGGUACGGAAACUUAGGGCCCGCAGAACUUUGAGUUUGGGAAUAGGGCAUC